rnacentral:rRNA from 1 species
AUUGAACGCUGGCGGCAUGCUUUACACAUGCAAGUCGAACGGUAACAGGGAGCUUGCUCCGCUGACGAGUGGCGAACGGGUGAGUAAUGCGUCGGAACGUGCCGAGUAGUGGGGGAUAACGCAGCGAAAGUUGUGCUAAUACCGCAUACGUACUGAGGUAGAAAGUGGGGGACCUUCGGGCCUCACGCUAUUCGAGCGGCCGACGUCUGAUUAGCUAGUAGGUGAGGUAAAGGCUCACCUAGGCGACGAUCAGUAGCGGGUCUGAGAGGAUGAUCCGCCACACUGGGACUGAGACACGGCCCAGACUCCGACGGGAGGCAGCAGUGGGGAAUUUUGGACAAUGGGCGCAAGCCUGAUCCAGCCAUGCCGCGUGCGGAAAGAAGGCCUUCGGGUUGUAAACCGCUUUUGUCAGGGAAGAAAUCUUCUGGGCUAAUACCUCGGGAGGAUGACGGUACCUGAAGAAUAAGCACCGGCUAACUACGUGCCAGCCGCCGCGGUAAAAC